UUUGGCAACAGCUAGCUCUCUGCAGUAGACCAACUCACAUGGUCGCCCACUGAAGCUAAGCAGGGCUGUGCCCUUUUAGAACCUGGAUGGGAGACCACAUGGGAAAGCUAGGUUGCUGCUGAAA
rnacentral:rRNA from 1 species